rnacentral:rRNA from 1 species
CACAAUGGCGAAAGCCUGAUGCAGCAAUGCCGCGUGUGUGAAGAAGGCCUGCGGGUUGUAAAGCACUUUCAGUAGGGAGGAAACAGUAACGGCUAAUACCCCGAUACUUUGACGUUACCUACAGAAGAAGCACCGGCUAACUCUGUGCCAGCAGCCGCGUUAAUACAGAGGGUGCAAGCGUUAAUCGGAAUUACUGGGCGUAAAGCGCGCGUAGGCGGCUUGKUCAGUCGGAUGUGAAAGCCCCGGGCUUAACCUGGGAAUUGCAUUCGAUACUGCCAGGCUAGAAUGUAGUAGAGGGAAGUGGAAUUCCGGGUGUAGCGGUGAAAUGCGUAGAUAUCCGGAGGAACAUCAGUGGCGAAGGCGACUUCCUGGACUAACAUUGACGCUGAGGUGCGAAAGCGUGGGGAGCAAAACAGGAUUAGAUACCCUGGUAGUCCACGCCGUAAACGAUGUCAACUAGAUGUUGGAGGGUUUAACCCUUUAGUAUCGCAGUAACGCAUUAAGUUGACC